UGUGAUGCUUCUGUUUUAUUGGAUGCUGCUGAAUUGUUGAAAAAUGAGAAAGAUUCUACCCCAACGAAAGGCUGAAGGGGUUUGAUAUAAUAGACAGAAUCAAGUCACAACUUGAGAAGUGUGUCCUGAAGUUGUUCCUUGCGCUGAUAUAGUUGUUUUAGCAGCCAGAGGUGUUGUUCAAGUAUAUAUCCCAGUGCCUCCCACCUUCUACCUCAAAUCUCUCUCUCAGCUUCUCACCAGACAUGUGAAUUUCAGGCCAUUGGUCCAUUCUAUCCAUUAUUAACGGGCAGAAGAGAUGAUUUGGUCUCUUUUGCAGACAGCAACAUACGAGCUUCCUUCACCUCUAGCUGAUUUACCUGAAGCCGUUGCAUGUUUUGCACCUAAGUGUCUUGAUGAAAGAGAAGCUGUAGUCUAUUGAGUAUAAUGCUUCCCUUCUCUCCUAGUUCCUUGUGGUGGCAUGCAAGCUUUUGUUUUACUCUGUAGAAUGGCUAUCAGACACUUUCCCCAGUACUUUAUGUUUAUCUGUAUGAAUCCACAGAGGUGUAUUUGAUUAGCCUCAGUUUUGUUCAGAUGUGCAUUCUGUAGUGACCUAGAAUCUUAACGUUUCUAAUUGUUCCCUUGCAUUUACUUCUAGGUGUUCACAGCGUUGGAAUGAUCCGCUGCAAAUUCUUCACAAACAGCAUCCACAACUUUGGUGGGACUAAUAAGCCUGAGCCCUUUCUUGAUCUUCAAUUGAUGCAAUAACGUUGAUGUAUCAGUUACUUCAGCAGCAGCACCUUCCUUUGAUGUGUUGUUGCCCUCAUCACCAGCAUCCUAAGCUUCUAAAGACUGCUUCGGAUCAUCGUCAGCAGUAUCAUCAACUUCACGUAGCGGAUUACGUUCUCCAUCUUCUGGGGACCGGGGAAGGAAGGAUGCAACUCGUCAGCACCACCACUAUCACUUUCCUUCUAAGGCUCAUUGUCUUUCUCACUAUUGUCUUCAACGACACCAUAAGUUUCAUAUGAAGGUUCACUAUAGUCCUCACUAGAGGAUCCAGGAAUCAAUUUGGCCUAUGAGGGACCUGGAAACAUGUUGGUUCAGUAGACCACCAGUUUUCUCCAAGGUAGAGGAAUCCUCUAUACCGAUCAAUAACUAAUGUCUGGGGAAGAAACUGGGAUUAAGGUUAGAGCAUAUGCUUCAGAUGCAUACUUGUUCCACCGAGACUUUGCCCGAACAAUGAUGACGAAGAAUCUUCACAGGUUCAGUGGGUCAGGUCCAGCUCAAUUGUUCGAAGGUGGCAUAGAGGAGAUUGAUUAGGAAGAAGGACUUUUAUCCAGUUUUCCCUACGCUAACUUUCUGGGUUUUGUUGUCACGAAUUUGAAUACUGAGGAAUUUAGAUAAAUUUCUGUUGUUUACUUGUAUAUUUAGUAUCCAGAUUAAAACCAAACUGUCCAAUGCUUGUUCAACAAAAUCUAUGAAAUUCAAGUUCUUCUCUA